rnacentral:lncRNA from 1 species
AUGGUGGGGGAGAAGUUAGAGUGCUGGAAUGGUCCCAAGGCUAUGCAUGGAUCCAAACAUUUCAGACUAAUUGCUCUGUGGAGAGUGGGGAAAAUGAAGAAACAAAGAGGAUGUUGUCAUGCACCUAGCUGGACAGAAAGCCUCAUGAUUAACAAGCAUGGGAUCAGAGGUACCUGGCUGAUGUGUCUUGGCAAUGACUUGUUUGUGCAGGCAUGGGGUUAGUUAAAGAAGGUCAUGUCUAACCCCAAAGACUAUAUAAAAGUUCUUUACUAGGAAAUGCUGGCUGAUAACAACUCAGCACGAUCACAGGAGCUGUAAAAGGAACCCUGCUGUUGCAGUGGCUUGCUGUGCAAAAUCCCGCUAAGAACCAGAAAUAUUUCUUGUACUGAGGAUGCACUUAGCAAUAUCUUUGCUCGUUGAACCAGUAACAAUAUCUGACCUGUAUAUAUGUAUUCAUCUGACAUUGUAUAAAAUAUUGCCAAGGGGAGAGUAGAGAAUGUUGUCAAUAAUGACACUUUUCAAGCUGCUGUAAUGAUGCUGGCUUAAUUUUUAAGACAACUUCUUUUCUAGACAUUUACAAUGAUAUGGUACCCUUUUACAAGCCAUACACAAUUUGUUUGCUGAGCAGAUAAUCUGGUAUUGUUAAAAUUUAUUUAAUGUAUGAACCUCAAACAUAAAAAACAACUAUUAUCAGUCAUAGAAGACUUUACUCAGGAUGACAUUUCUGAUCAAAGCAAUGAUAUUAAUAAUACCUAGCUGGCGCACUGGAGACCACAACAUUGAAUAUUGGUUUGGCUAUAAUCACAAAUAUAUUCAGAAGGGCUGGAAGCUAAUAUCAAAUGCUGGCUAAGUGUUUAAGUGGGGAUGUCCUUGAGUCUCAUGACUUUUCUGAGAGGAAAUCUAAAGCACUAAAUCUUGGUCACUUCAACAGAACUGGGAUAUGCAGAACAAACUCCUGUCAGUGCUGAAUAGUGUGCUGACUUGCAUAAACCCUUGAGGUAUGAACGUAAGAAUCUGAUAAGAAGAAUAUAUUCCAUACAAUUCCCUUGCUGUAAUUUUCUUCCUUCCACAGAAGAACUGCCCUUCUGAUUGGAGGCCCCAAAUCAGAUAAGCAGAAGAACUUUAUGAAAAGUAAAGUCCAAGGAAGCAACAAAUUGCUGGAUGAAGCUUUCUUAAUUUUAGGCAAGCAGAAAGGUUGUUCACUGCCUACACGACAGAAAACUUGGAUCCUACUCUUGCUUAACCAUACAUUCUUUGUAUGACCUUGCAUGAGUAACUCAGCCUCAGCCUUUCCACCUGAUACAUAAUUUCCACCAAGAUACAUAAUACGUGUCCACAGCUGAGGAAUCUUGUGAGGCUAAAAUCAUUCCCAUGUUCUCAGGAUUUCUGAAUACCUUUGUACACCAUUUAAUGUAAUGUCUUACUUCAAACUCUAGGUUGGUAAUUUCAAUUCUUUCUUUUAUAAAUUUUAAUUAAUCAUUAUCUGUCUCCUUUUUGCAUAAUAAAGUGUAAUUUUGUUGUAAAAAUCCA